rnacentral:rRNA from 1 species
UACGGAAGGGGCGAGCGUUGUUCGGAAUCAUUGGGCGUAAAGGGCGUGUAGGUGGUCUGUAUGUCUACCGUGAAAGCGUACGGCUCAACCGUAUUUAGUCGGUAGAAACUGCAGGACUUGAGGCUGGGAGGGGCUGGUGGAAUUCCCCGUGUAGCGGUGAAAUGCGUAGAGAUGGGGGAGAACACUCGUGGCGAAGGCGGCCAGCUAGACCAGUUCUGACACUGAGGCGCGACAGCGUGGGGAGCAAACAGG